GCUGGUGUAGCUCAGUCGGUAGAGCAGCGCACUCGUAAUGCGCAGGUCAGGUGUUCGAGUCACCCCACCAGCUCCA
rnacentral:tRNA from 2 species